GGCGGUCCGGGGCUCGACCGGGUCCGUCGGGGACGGGUCCCGGCGGUGGGCGCCGACGGCGUGGCGGGUGAUCAGAAUCAGCCGGUCGCCA
rnacentral:tRNA from 1 species